UUUGCGCAUACGGCCGUCCCCUUGUCGCCCUUUACGGUAUAGAUAUGUAUAUGCACGUGAGUUUAAGUAACACUGCGGUGUGCAAAGUUUCAAAAUCGGUGCCCACAAGUACACACGGGACGAAACUUUCUUCAGGUAUACUAGACGUUCCUGUAUACUGUAAUAGUGAGAAAUAUACGUUAAGUAAUCGCCUAGUUAAUAUUGUAAAUUUAAGGAUUGCGCAGGUUUAAUAUCUCGGGUUAACAGGUACUUCGUACAUACCUAGUAUAUUAUCAGAUAGCGUUAUGUGAUCUACCGGUUCACCGGGUUUUACGCACAAUCGAUCGAAAUUUAUAGGAAAAUAGGUUUAAACCGGAAUGAUGGAUGACAACAAUAACCUGAUAAUAUAUAAUCGAUGUUGUGGAUAUUCGCAGUUGACGACCGAGAA